ensembl:snRNA U1 U1 spliceosomal RNA
AUACUUAUUUGGCAUUGGAGAUACCAUAAUCACUAAAGUGAUUUUCCCAGGGUGAGGCUUAUCCAUUGUACUCUGGAUGUGCUCACCUCUGCGAUUUCCCCAAAUGUAAGAAACUAGGAUGCAUAAUUUGUGAUAGAGGGGGACUGCAUUCACGCUCUAA